rnacentral:lncRNA from 1 species
CACACAGUAAGGGAAAGUCCUGCUUCUUGAAACUUCCAGCGUGUGAGUGUGUAUGCGCGCGUGUGUGUGUGCGUUUGCACAGGAUGGCAACAUAAAGCGCGUUACUCACUGUGGGUGGUAGGCAAAAAGACUGACAUCCACGGGAAGCUGGGUUCUGAGAUCCUUCCAACUUUGCAGUUAUGUGAGGUACUAUUAUUGUUCCCAUUUUAAAGAUGAGGAAACUGUAGCAAUGCCAUAAAUCGGGGGGACACUUAAGGAGUGAUUCUGC